UGAGCAAUCUGCCCUUCUCAUCGGAAUAAGCGUUGGGAACGACGUCUAAUGCCGAAUACGACCUCCUUUCGCAUGAUCGGAGGUGGAAAGCUCCGGCGGAGAAGGAUGAGCUCGCGGCCUAUCAGCUAGUUGGUGUGGGUAAUGGCCCACCAAGGCGACGACGGGUAGCCGGCCUGAGAGGGCGUCCGGCCACACUAGGACUGAGACACGGCCUAGACUCCUACGGGAGGNAG
rnacentral:rRNA from 1 species